GGGCGAAGUUCGUCCGCGGGACUCGGAAUGGCACCAGACUUGGCGGGCGGCCUCCGUGUGCCAAAAAUAGGCCACGGGCACAGCCUCGCCCAAAAAUCAGCCCCCGAAGGUCGGGGUCCCAAGACCCCCCAGCGGAAAAAUGGCCAAAAAACGGGUGGGCUAUAGCCUUGGUGGGGGGCGUGGGCGAAGUUCAUCCGCGGGACUCGGAAUGGCACCAAACUUGGCGGGCGGAAUCCGUGUUGCAAAAAUAAGCCACGGGCACAGCCCCGCCCAAAAAACAGCCUCCGAAGUUCGGGGUCCCAAGACCCCCCAGCGGAAAAAUGGCCAAAAAACGGGUGGGCUAUAGCCUUGGUGGGGGGCGUGGGCGAAGUUCGUCCGCGGGACUCGGAAUGGCACCAGACUUGGCGGGCGGCCUCCGUGUGCCAAAAAUAGGCCACGGGCACAGCCGCGCACAAAAACCAGCCCCCGAAGGUCGGGGUCCCAAGACCCCCCAGCGGAAAAAUGGCCAAAAAACGGGUGGGCUAUAGCCUUGGUGGGGGGCGUGGGCGAAGUUCGUCCGCGGGACUCGGAAAGGUACCAGACUUGGCGGGCUGCCUCCGUGUGCCAAAAAUAGGCCACGGGCACAGCCGCCCCCAAAAAUCAGCCCCCGAAGGUCGGGGUCCCAAGACCCCCCAGCGGAAAAAUGGCCAAAAAACGGGUGGGCUAUAGCCUUGGUGGGGGGCGUGGGCGAAGUUCGUCCGCGGGACACGGAAUGGCACCAGACUUGGCAGGCGGCCUCCGUGUUCCAAAAAUAGGCCACGGGCACAGCCGCGCCCAAAAACCAGCCCCCGAAGGUCGGGGUCCCAAGACCCCCCAGCGGAAAAAUGGCCAAAAAACGGGUGGGCUAUAGCCUUGGUGGGGGGCGUGGGCGAAGUUCAUCCGCGGGACUCGGAAUGGCACCAGACUUGGCGGGCGGCCUCCGUGUUGCAAAAAUAGGCCACGGGCACAGCCGCGCCCAAAAAACAGCCCCCGAAGUUCGGGGUCCCAAGACCCCCCAGCGGAAAAAUGGCCAAAAAACGGGUGGGCUAUAGCCUUGGUGGGGGGCGUGGGCGAAGUUCGUCCGCGGGACUCGGAAUGGCACCAGACUUGGCGGGCGGCCUCCGUGUGCCAAAAAUAGGCCACGGGCACAGCCGCACCCAAAACACAGCCCCCGAAGGUCGGGGUCCCAAGACCCCCCAGCGGAAAAAUGGCCAAAAAACGGGUGGGCUAUAGCCUUGGUGGGGGGCGUGGGCGAAGUUCGUCCACGGGACUCGGAAUGGCACCAGACUUGGCGGUAGGCCUCCGUGUGCCAAAAAUAGGCCACAGGCACAGCCGCGCCCAAAAAACAGCCCCCGAAGUUCGGGGUCCCAAGACCCCCUUGCGGAAAAAUGGCCAAAAAACGGGAGGGCUAUAGCCUUUGUGGGGGGCGUGGGCGAAGUUCGUCCGCGGGACUCGGAAUGGCACCGGACUUGGCGGUAGGCCUCCGUGUGCCAAAAAUAGGCCACGGGCACAGCCGCGCCCAAAAAACAGCCCCCGAAGUUCGGGGUCCCAAGACCCCCCAGCGGAAAAAUGGCCAAAAAACGGGUGGGCUAUAGCCUUGGUGGGGGGCGUGGGCGAAGUUCGUCCGCGGGACUCGGAAUGGCACCAGACUUGGCGGGCU
rnacentral:lncRNA from 1 species